rnacentral:rRNA from 1 species
GACGAACGCUGGCGGCGUGCUUAACACAUGCAAGUCGAACGAAGUGGCGAACGGGUGAGUAACGCGUAAUCAACCUGCCCUUCAGAGGGGGACAACAGUUGGAAACGACUGCUAAUACCGCAUACUGAAGGAGGGGAUUGCGUCGGAUUAGCUAGUUGGCGGGGUAACGGCCAACCAAGGCGAGGAUCAGUAGCCGGUGUGAGAGGAGGAACGGCCACAUUGGGACUUAGACACGGCCCAGACUCCGACGGGAGGCAGCAGGGGGGAAUCGUUGGAAAUGGACGGAAGUCUGACGGAGCAACGCCGCGUGAGUGAUGACGGCCGUCGGGUUGUAAAGCUCUGUUAAUCGGGAAGCGUUACCGGAAUAGAAAGCCACGGCUAACUACGUGCCAGCCGCCGCGGUAAUUC